AGUCAAGCGGACGAAGGCAUGUGGGGGAUGCCUGGGUACACGGAGGCGAGGAAGGCCGCGGUAAGCUGCGAAAAGCUCGGGGGAGUGGCACACACGCAAUGAUCCCGAGGUGGCCGAAUGGGGCAACCCGGCGGGUCGUGAGGCCCGUCAUCUCUCAGCAAUGGGAGAGGCGAACCCAGGGAACUGAAACAUCUCAGUACCUGGAGGAAGAGAAAUCAAUUGAGAUGCCCUCAGUAGCGGCGAGCGAACGGGGCAGUGGCCUAAACCGAGGUUCUCUGAAUCUCGGGGUUGUAGGAUCCACGGACG
rnacentral:rRNA from 1 species